rnacentral:rRNA from 1 species
AGACAGCCAGGAUGUUGGCUUAGAAGCAGCCAUCAUUUAAAGAAAGCGUAAUAGCUCACUGGUCGAGUCGGCCUGCGCGGAAGAUGUAACGGGGCUAAACCAUGCACCGAAGCUGCGGCAGCGACGCUUAGGCGUUGUUGGGUAGGGGAGCGUUCUGUAAGCCGUUGAAGGUGGCCUGUGAGGGUUGCUGGAGGUAUCAGAAGUGCGAAUGCUGACAUAAGUAACGAUAAAGCGGGUGAAAAGCCCGCUCGCCGGAAGACCAAGGGUUCCUGUCCAACGUUAAUCGGGGCAGGGUGAGUCGACCCCUAAGGCGAGGCUGAAAAGCGUAGUCGAUGGGAAACAGGUUAAUAUUCCUGUACUUGGUGUUACUGCGAAGGGGGGACGGAGAAGGCUAGGCUGGCCGGGCGACGGUUGUCCCGGUUUAAGCGUGUAGGGGGUGUGACCUGGUAAAUCCGGUUGCAUACUAACCCUGAGGCGUGAUGACGAUGCACUACGGUGCAGAAGUAGUUGAUGCCCUGCUUCCAGGAAAAUCCUCUAAGCUCCAGGUAACAUUAAAUCGUACCCCAAACCGACACAGGUGGUCAGGUAGAGAAUACCAAGGCGCUUGAGAGAACUCGGGUGAAGGAACUAGGCAAAAUGGUGCCGUAACUUCGGGAGAAGGCACGCUGGCAUGUAGGUGAAGUCCCU